UGAGGAACAUGACCUUCGGCGGGGGAUAGUCCGGCCCAACGGCCGGGUAAUACCGCGUACGACCACUUUGGGACAUCCCUCGGUGGUGAAAGCAGCAAUGCGCCGAUGGAGUGCCUCGCGGCCUAUCAGCUAGUUGGUGAGGUAACGGCUCACCAAGGCGACGACGAG
rnacentral:rRNA from 1 species